GUCGGGUAGACGUGGUGUGAAGCCGUUCCGUGUUUUUCGCAUUUUUUUAUCCGGCAAAAGUACAUCGCGUGUGGAAAAAUGUGUCGGGAGUGCCGCGGAGGCUGCCGGGCGAUCGUUGUAGCAGAUUAAUCGUUAUGCGCGAACGAAAUUCGCUGCGUUUUUCCGACAUUCGUAUUCAAGCGAGUGAGAGCUCUCGAUUGAAGUUGUGCGGUACAGUCUGGACGAGAAGUUUCGCAGAGCGACAUCUGCAGUACCGUCCGAUACGAGGUUUGGAAAAAGAAGCAUUGCUAAUCCAGCAUUAGUUGAUUUGGAUUGUUGGUGGAAACAAGACGAGAUAUCAUGAUCUGGUUAACAAACUCGGAUUCGCACGUCCCUGAAGAGAGGCGGAUGAUGACAUUAAAUAUCCUAAUAUUUAUUUAGAACUCCGAAAACCCGUGUCGAGGAUACUUAAUUAAUCGGCCGGCGACGAGAGCGAUUUUAUGAAUGGCGUGACGAGUCAAUGAACGCGAUGGCAAAAAGGAUAUCAGACGACUGCUCAUUUGCCGUGAAUCUACCCUAAGUGAUUGCGUGGUGUAUAACUAUCGACUACAAGACACCUUUCAACUUCCAGGUCUCGAAAGAUUGCCGGUGGUUGAGGGAAGAAAGAGGUGGCACGAAGUUCGCGGUGAAAGGAUAAAUGGCUACAUCGUACUGAUGGAGACAAUCGAAUCGCCAGAAAUGAUUCCGGGGAAGAACACGAAGAAGAUAACCCCGCGGCGUGAGCCAUCUCGCAUUAUACCAUCAACGACGUAUUCACCCCUUUCUGCUCCAGAGAUAUCUACAGGGUGGCACUACCAACAUAACUGAGAAUCUCCUUCGCAACUCUGAUCGACAAAGUUCCUUCUGGCGGUGCCGCGAGCACACGGAUGCGAAAGUUAGCACGAAGUCUACCAGCAUCCCUUCUACCGCAUCUCGAGACAGUUCUCUCCUCUCCCUUUCACCCUCUGUUUCUCGCUCCUACACCUCACCAUGAACCACCAUUGCAUACCAUUGCACACUCACACACACAUACACAAUUUGUUUCCUUCCUUUUUGCAGGAGAAAGUUCUCUCUCGCACUCGCACUCGACUCUCGUCAUUUUACGGUGCCUUAAGAGACAAGGACACGAGCAAGUUUCACGAAGAUAGGCCAAGUUUGAUAAGAUACCGGUUUACCCUGCAUAGCCCGAUUGAUUAUCCUUCUCCGGGACCUCUAUUCAAUGGCGGUUACAUACGUUCGUAUUCUUUCACGUGGCUGAACAGUGAUUUUGUGGAAGCUACUUAGGGAGGCUUGAAAAAAGCAUCACGUAAAAUAGAUCAUCGUGAGUAAGAUGUAUGUGACUAUGAGAGAUUAAUGUGUAAAUAAAAUUCUUCUAAAAAAUCGAAAUCUUUCCCUGAAAUGGGAGAUUCCAAAUCGUUGAAAUUGAUAUAAUUUUUGUGAGAGCACUAUUAAAAAAUGCCAAAAUAGUCUCCGCAUGAAUUUAACAAUUUGAUAUUCUCGUCGCGAUGAUUGGAUUGUAUAGCAAAUACACAUUUUACAAAUAAAAAUUUAAUUCAUCGUAAUUAGAUAGGUUUCAAUCAUUGCAUUUUAUGUUUAAAGUUGAAUAGCACAUGCACUCUAUUAUGUUUUAUUUUUAAAUAAAGACUAAAAGAGAGAUAUUCUUGUAAGAUGACAUAAAGUUUAAGAGUUGCUUUGAUCCAGAUUGAAAAAAUUAUCUCGUGUAUAAAUAAAUACGGCUCGAUCAUAUUUUCAGCGAGAUAAAUUUUAUUUCAAAAUCGCGACAUUUCUCGCGCAAAUAACGCCUGAUUUAAAUUCAGGCGAGAUUGAAGCGAGAAGCACAAUUCGCACUGAUAGCAACGAUUAGUGACAGAUAAUCUCUUUCGUGUGAGGUCUUAUUAGAAUCAAUUUCCCCGCACGCGCGAUAUUUCUACGGCAUGCAUUGCGGUAUACCAUCGCAUUAAUCAUACACCUGUGUGCGAUUCCCGCAUCGAUAAUUUUCCGAAGCUCUCUCCUGGUAUUUAAACCAUCAUCUACCGUCGCGUCGAUACGAUCUAUUUUGAAAAAUAACUUUUUCCCAUUUUGCGUUUUAUCGAUGGUGUUUUAUCAAACAAUAAAAUUACAUUAUUAUGAAAUAAUUUUAGCGCUAGAUAAUCUUCGAAAGAACAUUACCGCUAUUAGAUAUCGCAAUAUAUGUAAGAUAAAAACAUUUUCGUUACAUAUAUAUUGAAUAUUAAACAGGAAUUAUUCUCAAAUACUAAGAAUAAUAUGACUUUAUAUUUAUGCAUUCGUAGAUAAAAAUUAAUUGAUCGCUUUCGCUGUUAACUACAUUUUGCGCAUACACACGCACACACACACACACACACACUCACACACACAUAAAUACACGCGCGCACUCGUAGUCAUUUUUAUUAUUACACCUAUACCAUAAAUAUAUAACAGGCAUUUUUUUUAUACAUAUAUUGGGUAUCGGAUACGCAAUCGUUUUCGCUAUUACAUUACAUUUUGUACGCACACACACACAUACAGUCAUUUUUAUUAUUAUACUAUAUAAUGUAC